GUGUCCACCCUGCUAUUAAUAAGGAUUAGAUCUCCAUACUUGCUUCCAGCUGUCUCAUCUAGACCCUGGGAAAUCUUAUCAUGAAACAAAAGCUGUUCUCCAACUUUGCUGCCAGCCACUGACUCUACAUUAAUCAGGAGCCAGAUUCCUUGAAUUCUUGGAAAGCAAAACAGAAGAAUCCCUGACUAAAGGCUUUCUGUGACCUGAAUAUGGCCUUAUUUGGAAAUGUCUCUGCCAGUACAGUCGAAUUAAAAUGAGAUCAUACUGGAUUAGG